UGGCGAAUGGGUGAGUAACACGUGGGUAAUUUGCCUCAAACCUGGGGAUAACCAUUCGAAAGGAUGGCUAAUACCGAAUGUGGUCAUUGGAUGGCAUCAUCCUUUGAUUAAAGGUGGGGACCUUCGGGCCUACCGGUAUGAGAUGAACCCGCGGCCUAUUAGCUUGUUGGUGAGGUAACGGCUCACCAAGGCUUUGAUGGGUAGCCGGACUGAGAGGUUGGUCGGCCACACUGGGACUGAGACACUGCCCAGACUCCUACGGGAGGCUGCAGUCGAGAAUCUUUCGCAAUGGGCGAAAGCCUGACGAAGCGACGCCGCGUGGGCGAUGAAGGCCUUCGGGUCGUAAAGCCCUGUCACGAGGGAUGAAAUGCGCGCGUGUGAAUAAUGCGUACGUUUGACAGUACCUCGAAAGGAAGCUCCGGCUAACUCCGUGCCAGCAGGCCGCGGUAAUACGGGGGGAGCAAGCGUUGUUCGGAUUUACUGGGCGUAAAGGGCGUCUAGGCGGUAUGGAUAGUCGGAUGUGAAAUCCCUCGGCUCAACCGGGGAACUGCAUUCGAAACUUCCAAACUAGAGUACGGCAGAGGUAAGCGGAAUUCUCAGUGUAGCGGUGGAAUGCGUAGAUAUUGAGAAGAACACCAGUGGCGAAGGCGGCUUACCAGGCUGAUACUGACGCUGAAGCGCGAAAGCCAGGGGAGCGAACGGGAUUAGAUACCCCGGUAGUCCUGGCCGUAAACGAUGUGCACUGGGUGUAGGAGGUAUCGACCCCUUCUGUGCCGAAGUUAACGCAUUAAGUGCACCGCCUGGGGAGUACGGGCGCAAGCCUGAAACUCAAAGGAAUUGACGGGGGCCCGCACAAGCGGUGGAGCAUGUGGUUUAAUUCGAUGCAACGCGAAGAACCUUACCAGGACUUGACAUGGAUCUGACCGUCUGUGAAAGCAGAUUUUCUUUUAGACAGAUCCACAGGUGCUGCAUGGCUGUCGUCAGCUCGUGUCGUGAGAUGUUGGGUUAAGUCCCGCAACGAGCGCAACCCCUGCUGUCUGUUACCAGCGAGUAAUGUCGGGGACUCUGACAGGACUGCCGGUGUUAAACCGGAGGAAGGUGGGGAUGACGUCAAGUCAGUAUGGUCCUUAUGCCCUGGGCUGCACACGUGCUACAAUGGCUGGUACAGAGGGCUGCGAGACCGCGAGGUGGAGCAAAUCCCAGAAAGCCGGCCCCAGUUCGGAUUGGAGUCUGCAACUCGACUCCAUGAAGUUGGAAUCGCUAGUAAAGCCGUAUCAGCUACGACGGCUUGAAUACGUUCCCGGGCCUUGUACACACCGCCCGUCACAUCACGAAAGUCGAUUGUACCUUAAGUCGCUGAGCUAACCCCUCGGGGAGGCAGGUGCCGAAGGUAUGGUUGAUGAUUGGGGUG
rnacentral:rRNA from 1 species